UGUUGUCAUGAGCCUGGCUCUGCAAAUCCUUUGCCGCAUUUCAGAUUCGUUCUUCUCCCAGCAGCGAAUCCCAUUCAUGCUCCUGCUACCCAUUCAUGCUCCUGCUCCAGUUCCGGCUCCUUAAGUCUGGUGCUGCUCGAGUUCUUAGGCUUUUUCUUUUGUAACUUGGGAAACAUUUGAGUUAUAAAUGCCGCACUACUUGAAUGAAU
rnacentral:lncRNA from 1 species